AUACGUCUUUUGUUAUUGUUCUCUCCUUUUUUCAUGGCUACCAAUAUCUGGGCUUUAUAUUAAUAUCAUUCAUAUCAAUUCUCUUUUUUAUUUGUUUCUUAAUUGAUGCGAAGCUCAAUAAACCACCAACUUUUCACAACUACAAAUAGGUGGAGCUUAUAUUUAUUUCAUUCAUAUGGCUUCUUGUCCUUGCAUGCUUCUUGAUUUAUGCUUCUUGUUUUCCAAAGAGCAGGUGUUCAUUCUUAAUUGGAGAGGGAUUCUUAUGCCUUCGGCUCUGAAAAAUAGUGGUGCAUUUUGUGGCUUUUGACCUUGCUAGUGGACUGGGGGAAACAAAGUGGGAUCUCCAGAAGAGGUUUUCCAAAGAGAAAAAUCGGAAGCAGCCACGUGGGCUGCUGUGUACUUCAAAGAGUCGAGUUUUUGUUUUUAGGGGAAAAACAGCAAUCUACAAAUCAGAGGACCAAAAAUCCAAAGAGGCUUAUUAUUAUUUUUAAAUGUUACUUCUCCCAACACAAAAAAAUAAAAAUUGUCGAUUGGAUUUCAUAAAUGUGUUUGCUUCUAUGCAUUUAAGCUAUAGAUCUAAUAUUGUUUAAAUAUCACUAAUGACUUGGAAAUCACCCAAAAGAUCAGCCAGUCAACUAGUUAGUGUGUGGAUGCCAUAUUGGACAGUUUUAUUUCAUAUUAGGUUUAAUUCCAUUGGAGCCGAGGAGAAUGGUGGUGGUUUUUGUGGGCAGUGUAUGGAGCUAAUACCUAGUAAUUAGAUAUUCUUAGUUUAAUCAUUGAACUUAAUAAAAUUUAUAUGGGCCUAUGCAUUUAUUUGUAUGUCUAAUAUCGUUAAAUAUCAUCACUGACUUGAAAGUAAGUACACCCAAAGGAUUGUGCUAAUAAACUAGUCAAUGUUGAAAUUGGCCAAGUUGAAUUUGUUAAUUGCAUGUGUUGAGAAAUUGUGCAAGAAAUCAGAAAGUCAGUGAGUAAUAACUAGGGUUGAGUGUUAAGAGAGAGGAGAGCAGAAGAGAAUGAGAAGAAAAAUGAAAGAGAAACCAUUAAAGAAGAGUAUUUUCUGAGGGUGAUGUUCAGGUACUCUGUGCUUUAGGGAGAGACUACAUCAACAGAAUGACUAGGGUUGAGUGUUAAGAGAGAGGAGAGCAGAAGAGAAUGAGAAAAAAAAUGAAAGAGAAACCAUUAAAGAAGAGUAUUUUCUGAGGGUGAUGUUCAGGUACUCUAUGCUUUAGGGAGAGACUAAGGGUUGGAAGAAAAUGAAUGAGUUAUUGUUGAUUGAAAGAAAAGAAAAGAAAAGAAAGAAAUAAAGAAAGAAGGAAAGAAAGAAAAAAAAAAUGAACGAUGGGAUAAAGAAGAGUGGGGGUCUUUUAAGGAGAGGUUUGAGUGAAAAGUGGUCUACAGAGGAGAGUGCGGUGUUCUUUCUUUUAUUUUUUCAAGAAUCUAUUUUCUACAACUCAAAACCUGUCGCUCAAAAACAAAACAAAAAAAAAAAAAAAAAGAAAAGAAAAAAAGAAAGAAAGAAA